AGAGUUUGAUCCUGGCUCAGAUUGAACGCUGGCGGUAUGCUUAACACAUGCAAGUCGAACGGUAACAGGCCUUCGGGCGCUGACGAGUGGCGGACGGGUGAGUAACGCGUAGGAAUCUGCCUCAUAGUGGGGGACAACGUGGGGAAACUCACGCUAAUACCGCAUACGCCCUACGGGGGAAAGCGGGGGAUCUUCGGACCUCGCGCUAUGGGAUGAGCCUGCGUUAGAUUAGCUAGUUGGUAGGGUAAAGGCCUACCAAGGCGACGAUCUAUAGCUGGUCUGAGAGGACGAUCAGCCACACUGGGACUGAGACACGGCCCAGACUCCUACGGGAGGCAGCAGUGGGGAAUAUUGGACAAUGGGCGCAAGCCUGAUCCAGCAAUACCGCGUGUGUGAAGAAGGCCUUAGGGUUGUAAAGCACUUUCAAUUGGGAGGAAAACCUGCCGGUCAAUACCCGGUAGCUUGACAUUACCUUUAGAAGAAGCACCGGCUAACUCCGUG
rnacentral:rRNA from 1 species